rnacentral:rRNA from 1 species
GACAGAGGGUGCGAACGUUGCUCGGAAUUACUGGGCGUAAAGCGCGUGUAGGCGGACACUCAAGUCAGGUGUGAAAGCCCCAGGCUCAACCUGGGAACUGCACUUGAAACUGGGUGCCUUGAGUGCUGGAGAGGGAAGCGGAAUUCCUGGUGUAGAGGUGAAAUUCGUAGAUAUCAGGAGGAACACCGGUGGCGAAGGCGGCUUCCUGGACAGUUACUGACGCUGAGACGCGAAAGCGUGGGGAGCAAAC